UACAGAGGUGACUAACGUUGUCCGGAAUUAUUGGGCGUAAAGGGCGCGUAGGUGGUUGAGUAAGUCAGGUGUGAAAGCUCUGGGCUUAACCCAGGAAUUGCGUCUGAUACUGCUCGGCUUGAGUACGGUAGAGGAGGGUGGAAUUCCCAGUGUAGCGGUGAAAUGCGUAGAUAUUGGGAGGAACACCAGUGGCGAAGGCGAGUCCCUGGACAACACCUGACACUGAGGCACGAAAGCCGGGGGAGCAAACAGG
rnacentral:rRNA from 1 species